UCACUGAUGAUGGCACCAUAGGACACUUUCAUACAUAUAAUGGUAAAGACAGAAUGUUUGGUUCCUGUUUAAUUCCAGCUGAAGAGAAUUUGAAAUGGGAAUUACCCAGGAGUGUAGCACUGACCACAAUUUGAAGUUACUUCAGAAGGCACCAGAUCCACGUCAGAAAAAAACAGCGAAGGCUCUUAAUUUCUGCAGAGCACUCAGUCUAGAGGAGUCAGCACACUCCCACUUUACUCCAGACCUCAAAUGCUGACAGGUACCACCAGGGCCUGGAAUAGCUGUAAGUGGAAAGUGAAUUCUCGGUAUUCAUAUGUAAAUCGAAAUAAC
rnacentral:lncRNA from 1 species